UACGUAGGGGGCAAGCGUUGUCCGGAAUUAUUGGGCGUAAAGAGCUCGUAGGCGGCCAACUAAGUCGGACGUGAAAUCCCUCGGCUUAACCGGGGAACGGCGUCCGAUACUGGAUGGCUUGAGGUUGGGAGAGGGAUGCGGAAUUCCAGGUGUAGCGGUGAAAUGCGUAGAUAUCUGGAGGAACACCGGUGGCGAAGGCGGCAUCCUGGACCAAUUCUGACGCUGAGUGAGCGAAAGCCAGGGGAGCAAACGGG
rnacentral:rRNA from 1 species